rnacentral:tRNA from 1 species
GAGUGUAGUUUAAUGGUAGAGCUCCAGCUUCCCAAGCUGGUAACGAGGGUUCGAUUCCCUUCACUC